AAUUGGAAAGAAUGCCAGAAGGAUAAGGAGUUGUUACAUACAUUGUAAAACUCAUUUAUUCCACAAAACCAAUACUGGAGGCCUCACCUAGUUGCAGGAACGAAUAGAUUGUUUUUUGGAUUUGAACCCGUGACUCUUAGGGUAACAAGGCAAGCAAUAGACUAAAUUUGAAACAUAUUAGAAUGUUUGAAUGAUCCAUGCUGAGAUUUGAUAAAUUUGACAUCAAAAGACUUGAAAAUAGUCCAGGCAUAAAUUUGAUGAAGAUGAAAAUAAUCUAGCAGGAAAUGAUAGAUUUUGUAGUGUUCUUUCUUAAAUUCGAAUUGAUCAUUGUAGUUAUAUAAAUUGUUGAUUUUGUGUGUGUGCAGAAAUACAGGCUUUGAAAGAAUGUUCUCGAAAGAGAAAUAAAAAUAAAGGCACCUGAAAUUUUUUGGUGGGAUGCAUAUUUUGGUUGAGUAUGAGGUACUAACAGAAGGGGUGACUAUCCUUUUAGGUACUAACAGAAGGGGUGACUUCAUUUAAAAAUAGCAAUAUAAGCAACAUGGUGACUUGAUAACAUAGCCUCAUU
rnacentral:lncRNA from 1 species